rnacentral:rRNA from 1 species
UACGAAGGGGGCGAGCGUUGUUCGGAAUCACUGGGCGUAAAGGGCGCGUAGGCGGCCCUCCUUGUCGCGUGUGAAAGCCCCGGGCUCAACCUGGGAACGGCGCGCGAGACGGGGGGGCUGGAGUUCGGGAGAGGAGCGUGGAAUUCCCAGUGUAGAGGUGAAAUACGUAGAUAUUGGGAAGAACACCGGGUGGCGAAGGCG